GGGGGCUUUGAGGCUCCGGGCCAGGGUGAGAAGCAGUGACCGUACAUUCCCUCUGCUUGCAAGGAUGCUGGAUUACUCACUUGGCACUUUAGGACUCGGAGGUGAUGUACUGGGGACCCUUCCUCACCCGGGGUUCCACCGUGCACAGAAAAACUGAUGUUCCUGGCUGCUAAGGAAACCGAGCCAAACCCGGGGCCGGAACUGCUCUUAGCCCUCUGGGACACCCACCUCUAUCCCGGUUCAGGACUUGCAGAAGCAAGAGCAGAAGCUCAAAUGGGAGGAGGUUUUCCCGUGCCCUGUUCCCACUGGGCNUUGGAGAUCUGUGCUUUUCUGCAAAGCCCAUCGGCUAAGACUUGGACUUCUCAAAAACGCAAAAGACACUUGGAUUUUUAUUUUGGGGGAAGGAAGGUGGAAUCUCUUCUGUGGUAUAAUGGGGGCGGGGACUCAAGAUUUGUGUCCAGGACUGUCUGUAUGCCAAAGAGAUACCCCGGGGACUUAGGUCUCCGUCGCUUUAAGGGAGGUCCGGACUUUUCUCCCUCAUUUUUAUGUCUCUGUGGAGCUUGGCUUUUCUCGUCACUAUUAGCAUCCUCCUUAUCCCCCAAAAUAAUCUGGACUGUGGCAGCGUCCNCCCUACCUUGUGUUCUCGGAGAGAACGAUCCCGACUCUCGACAAUGACGUCUACGCUUUUGUCUUCUGUGAAGACGGGGCGUCGGCAGUGCAGAACUAAGCUAUUUUUUUUUUUCUGACUUCUUUGUAUUAAAUAUGUUGGGUUAGGGCUCCCCACCCCUCCGUUUCCUAAUUGUCAGGGACUGAGCCAAAUGAUUAAANACAAAAAAGCCCAUUUUCAAAAUCUUGGGAACAAACUGGCAAACCAACACACCAAGAGAGCUCAUUUUUUUUCCUGUCCCUGGAGUGUUCGGGAUGGAGUUGGCGGGAACGGGCCGCCAUUUUGACAGCUUCCAAAGAUAUUUGCGGCCAUUGGGUGAGCAGUGGGGAUACCGUAUGGGGUGGUUGUUAUUUUUGCUUUUUCGAAUGGGUUCAGGGCAAGAGGUUAGACUACUAUUUGUGUAUCGAGGCCUGUGGGUCUUGGUUCCCCAUUACUCGGGUUUUUAUUUUCUCCUGGACGGUGAUGUGGAGCCUUACUAAUCACAGUAUGAGGACAUUUCAGAGGAAUCCUAAUUUAUAAGGACCCUAAAUCUCCUCUUGUCAUUGUCACUGGUUUCCCAAAGCUGCUGAGGUUGGUUGGUUGGUUGGUUGAUUGAUUAACUGAUAUAUUGAUUGAUGUUUCUGGUCCUCAGGGGAGUUUGAGGUUCAUCUUCUUCUUCUUUUUUAACGCUCAUAUAUCAGAAACACAGAGAGCAAGCCAACCUUACGAUCCCUACAAAUUGCAUGCAGUGUUCUGAUUCCAGUUUGCCCUCCCAGUUGUUCUGGGGAGUUUGAUGAUAGGUCAAGAGGCAGGAGGCCUCUGAAGGCCAUUUGCAGGGAGUGGAGAGCAGGUGAAGGUUUUGCCUUCAUCUUCUGCUUGAGAUGCCCAGAAGCCAUUGGUGGGCCACUGUGUGAGAUGGGAUGCUGGACUAGAUGGUCCGUGGCCUGAUCCAGCNGGGCUCCCCUUAUGUUCUUACGUUCUACAAAACUUUGAUCCCAUCAGUCUUUUCCCAAGGGGAGGGAGCAAGUG
rnacentral:lncRNA from 1 species